GGGGUUGAGGCUCAGUGGUAGAGCACUCACCUUGCACGAGUGAGGCACUGGGUUCAAUCUUCAGCACCACA
rnacentral:tRNA from 1 species